rnacentral:rRNA from 1 species
AUUGAACGCUGGCGGCAGGCCUAACACAUGCAAGUCGAGCGAGAGGCGGACGGGUGAGUAAUGUCUGGGAAACUGCCUGAUGGAGGGGGAUAACUACUGGAAAAGGUAGCUAAUACCGCAUACCAUCAGAUGUGCGCAGAUGGGAUUAGCUCGUAGGGGGGGAAACGGCUCACCUAGGCGCCGAUACCUAGCUGGUCUGAGAGGAUGACCAGCCACACUGGAACUGAGACACGGUCCAGACUCCUACGCGAGGCAGCAGUGGGGAAUAUUGCACAAUGGGCGCAAGCCUGAUGCAGCCAUGCCGCGUGUGUGAAGAAGGCCUUCGGGUUGUAAAGCACUUUCAGCGGGGAGGCGUUACCCGCAGAAGAAGCACCGGCUAACUCCGUGCCAACAGCCGCGGUAAUUC